GCGGACUCAUCAUUCCAGCCAAUCAGCAGCAGACCCUCCCUCCCAGACCUUCCCACCUCCUGGACAGCAUCCAUUUUGAAGCUGCAUUCUUAGUGAGCUGUCCAGGAGUUGGGAGGGUCUGGGAGGGAGGGUCUGCUGCUGAUUGGCUGGAAUGAUGAGUCCG